AAAAAAUAAAAAAGAAACCUAAGAUUGUUAGGACGGAAUAUGGAUAUACUUUUUGUUCUAAAAAAUAAAAAAGUUGUAUUCGUAAUAAUUUGAGGAGUGUAUGUAUGUAUUUAACAAGUUAAAAGAAAGUCGAAAAAAUAAAGAAGGUAUGGUGUGGUCAAAGUGGUAGACGAGGAGGAGGCGUCUAUCCUGCUGCUCUUGUGUGUUGCCAGUGCCGCUAAGGUUUCGGUAUUCUUUCCUUUUUCUCAGCUUGCAAGUUCCAACCAUUUAAAGCAACCUCUCUUCAGAUCCACCACACGUCACACUCUUGAAUUUUCCUCUGCCGAAGCCUUUGACACGGUCAAGGGUUUUAGUCAGCUUAACUAAGCUAGCUACCGUAACAUCCACCAACAUUUACGCUUUUAUGGCUUUCUACUAAACUUCAUUUCUUUUUCAUUACUCAGAUUCUAACAUGCUUGGUCAAGACGGUACCGCCGACCGCUCUNNNN
rnacentral:lncRNA from 1 species